GAUUCUGGCUCAGGACGAACGCUGGCGGCGUGCCUAACACAUGCAAGUCGAGCGGAGACAUACGGCGGAUUUGAAGUUUUCGGAUGGAAAUGAAGAUGUAUGUUUAGCGGCGGACGGGUGAGUAACGCGUGAGCAACCUGUCCUUCACAGGGGGAUAACACAGCGAAAGUUGUACUAAUACCGCAUAAGACCACGGGACCGCAUGGUACUGGGGUCAAAGGAGCAAUCCGGUGAAGGGUGGGCUCGCGUCCGAUUAGAUAGUUGGUGAGGUAACGGCCCACCAAGUCGACGAUCGGUAGCCGACCUGAGAGGGUGAUCGGCCACAUUGGGACUGAGACACGGCCCAAACUCCUACGGGAGGCAGCAGUGGGGAAUAUUGGGCAAUGGGGGGAAACCCUGACCCAGCAACGCCGCGUGAGGGAAGAAGGUUUUCGGAUCGUAAACCUCUGUCCUUGGUGAAGAGGAAGAGACGGUAGCCAAGGAGGAAGCCCCGGCUAACUACGUGCCAGCCGCUGC
rnacentral:rRNA from 1 species